GACGAACGCUGGCGGCGUGCUUAACACAUGCAAGUCGAACGCUGAAGCUCAGCUUUUGUUGGGUGGAUGAGUGGCGAACGGGUGAGUAACACGUGAGUAACCUGCCUCCUUCUUUGGGAUAACGCCCGGAAACGGGUGCUAAUACUGGAUAUUAACGGGUCUUGGCCGGGGGGUGGGUGGAAGGGGUUUUUUGGGGGGGGAUGGGCCCCGGGGCUGUCCGCUGGGUGGUGGGGUGGUGGGCCACCCAGGCUUUGACGGGUAGCCGGCCUGAGAGGGUGACCGGUCACAUUGGGACUGAGAUACGGCCCAGACUACUACGGGGGGCAGCAGUGGGGAAUAUUGCACAAUGGGCGCAAGCCUGAUGCAGCGACGCUGCGUGAGGGAUGGAGGCCUUCGGGUUGUGAACCUCUUUCGCUCAUGGUCAAGCCGCAACAAUGGUUGUAGUGAGGGUAGUGGGUAAAGAAGCGCCGGCUAACUACGUG
rnacentral:rRNA from 1 species